GCCUGGAUGGCUCAGUCGGUUGAACAUCUGACUUCAGUUCAGGUCAUGAUCCCACAGCUUGUGAGUUCGAGCCCCACAUCAGGCU
rnacentral:tRNA from 1 species